AUUGAACGCUGGCGGCAGGCCUAACACAUGCAAGUCGAACGAGUGGCGGACGGGUGAGUAAUGUAUGGGAAACUGCCCGAUGGAGGGGGAUAACUACUGGAAACGGUAGCUAAUACCGCAUACCAUCGGAUGUGCCCAGAUGGGAUUAGCUAGUAGGUGGGGUAACGGCUCACCUAGGCGACGAUCCCUAGCUGGCCUGAGAGGAUGACCAGCCAAACUGGAACGGAGACACGGCCCAGACUCCUACGGGAGGCAGCAGUGGGGAAUAUUGCACAAUGGGCGCAAGCCUGAUGCAGCCACGCCGCGUGUAUGAAGAAGGCCUUCGGGUUGUAAAGUACUUUCAGCGAGGAGGCGGUACCCGCAGAAGAAGCACCGGCUAACUCCGUGCCAGCAGCCGCGGUAAUUC
rnacentral:rRNA from 1 species